CUGUUCGCCAAUGAAAGCGGUACGUGAGCUGGGUUUAGACCGUCGUGAGACAGGUCGGUCCCUAUCUGUUGUGGGCGUAGGAUACUUGAGCAGUUUUUUCCCUAGUACGAGAGGAUUGGGAAGGACGUACCUAUGGUGUUCCUGUUGUCACGCUAGUGGCAUCGCAGGGUAGCCACGUACGGCUCGGAUAAACGCUGAAGGCAUAUAAGCGUGAAACCCUCUGCAAGAUUAGGUAUCCAUGUUCUUAGAACGAAGACUCCUUGAAGACCACGAGGUUGAUAGGCUGGGUGUGCAAGGCUAGCAAUAGUCUUAGCUGACCAGUACUAAUAGUCGAUUGUUUGGACGC
rnacentral:rRNA from 1 species